CAUCAGGAGGUUAGUGCAAUGGCAUAAGCCAGCUUGACUGCGAGCGUGACGGCGCGAGCAGGUGCGAAAGCAGGUCAUAGUGAUCCGGUGGUUCUGAAUGGAAGGGCCAUCGCUCAACGGAUAAAAGGUACUCCGGGGAUAACAGGCUGAUACCGCCCAAGAGUUCAUAUCGACGGCGGUGUUUGGCACCUCGAUGUCGGCUCAUCACAUCCUGGGGCUGAAGUAGGUCCCAAGGGUAUGGCUGUUCGCCAUUUAAAGUGGUACGCGAGCUGGGUUUAGAACGUCGUGAGACAGUUCGGUCCCUAUCUGCCGUGGGCGCUGGAGAACUGAGGGGGGCUGCUCCUAGUACGAGAGGACCGGAGUGGACGCAUCACUGGUGUUCGGGUUGUCAUGCCAAUGGCACUGCCCGGUAGCUAAAUGCGGAAGAGAUAAGUGCUGAAAGCAUCUAAGCACGAAACUUGCCCCGAGAUGAGUUCUCCCUGACUCCUUGAGAGUCCUGAAGGAACGUUGAAGACGACGACGUUGAUAGGCCGGGUGUGUAAGCGCAGCGAUGCGUUGAGCUAACCGGUACUAAUGAACCGUGAGG
rnacentral:rRNA from 1 species